rnacentral:rRNA from 1 species
AGCGAACGCUGGCGGCAGGCCUAACACAUGCAAGUCGAACGAACUCUUCGGAGUUAGUGGCGGACGGGUGAGUAACACGUGGGAACGUGCCUUUAGGUUCGGAAUAACUCAGGGAAACUUGUGCUAAUACCGAAUGUGCCCUUCGGGGGAAAGAUUUAUCGCCUUUAGAGCGGCCCGCGUCUGAUUAGCUAGUUGGUGAGGUAAAGGCUCUCCAAGGCGACGAUCAGUAGCUGGUCUGAGAGGAUGAUCAGCCACAUUGGGACUGAGACACGGCCCAAACUCCUACGGGAGGCAGCAGUGGGGAAUCUUGCGCAAUGGGCGAAAGCCUGACGCAGCCAUGCCGCGUGAAUGAUGAAGGUCUUAGGAUUGUAAAAUUCUUUCACCGGGGACGAUAAUGACGGUACCCGGAGAAGAAGCCCCGGCUAACUUCGUG